UACGUGGGGAGCAUGCGUUGUUCGGAUUUACUGGGCGUAAAGAGCACGUAGGCGGGUAUGUAUGUCGGUCGUGAAAUCCUCUGGCUCAACCAGAGAACUGCGGCCGAAACUGCAUAUCUUGAGACUAGCAGAGGGAAUCGGAAUCAGACGUGUAGCGGUGAAAUGUGUAGAUAUGUCUGAGAACACCAGUGGCGAAGGCGGGUUCCUGGGCUAGUACUGACGCUGAGGUGCGAAAGCGUGGGGAGCAAACAGG
rnacentral:misc_RNA from 1 species